rnacentral:misc_RNA from 1 species
GCUAUUUUCCUGACGUGUUAUUCAUGUCUUCCCUCAAAAGAGACCUCUAAGUCGCAGUUGCCUACGUUUACCCAAACAUUUACAUACUACUGGGAGUUAGAAAACUUGCUUUCAGAAAUGAUGAAGAUUAAUAAAAAUAAACUGGUCACUAAAGAGAUGAUUUAGGAGUGUCGUUCUUUGGGGAUCGUUCGUGCAAAAAGUAAACUUGAAGAAAAUCGCAGAUGUAAGAAAACAAGGAAAAUGCGGAAAAUAAACGUGGACACUUAAUAAAACAGUAGCAUGAACUCCUACAAUAACACCUUUUGAGGUUCUCUAGUGCAAAAUAAUCUUUGAAGGAAGUUGCAGAUGUAUAAAGAACAAAGGAAGUGUGGAAAAUAAACGUAAACAACAGUAUGAGCUCUUACCUGUGAGGAGCCAAAUAUAUUGAAAUAACUAUGAGAUGGUAAAUAGUGAUGAAGAUGGCGGAUUGAUCAGCCUGAGAGUUGAUGUCUGUCGUGAAACCGAGAGAUGCUUUAGCUAAAAGGUAACCGGGUAAGAACCAGGUGGAAGGGAGUUAAGCUUGAACAGAGGAAAAGAAAAGCAGAGAUGA